rnacentral:rRNA from 1 species
AACGAACGCUGGCGGCAUGCCUAACACAUGCAAGUCGAACGAGACCUUCGGGUCUAGUGGCGCACGGGUGCGUAACGCGUGGGAACCUGCCCUUAGGUUCGGAAUAACUCCCCGAAAGGGGUGCUAAUACCAGAUAAUGUCUUCGGACCAAAGAUUUAUCGCCUUUGGAUGGGCCCGCGUUGGAUUAGCUAGUUGGUAGGGUAAAAGCCUACCAAGGCGACGAUCCAUAGCUGGUCUGAGAGGAUGAUCAGCCACACUGGGACUGAGACACGGCCCAGACUCCUACGGGAGGCAGCAGUGGGGAAUAUUGGACAAUGGGCGAAAGCCUGAUCCAGCAAUGCCGCGUGAGUGAUGAAGGCCUUAGGGUUGUAAAGCUCUUUUACCCGGGAUGAUAAUGACAGUACCGGGAGAAUAAGCUCCGGCUAACCCCGUG